rnacentral:rRNA from 1 species
UUCAAUUUUUGAAGUUUUUCUAGCUUUUUUGUUGGGUGAAAUCAGUAUAAGAAGCUCUUUCUUCUUUAAAAAUUAGUAGGAACUAAAAAACUUUGAUUUAAAACCAGGAUUAGAUACCCUGUUAUUCUCAGUUAUUCUUAAACAGGGUAGUAAAAGUUGUUCUUCAAACCCAAAGAUUUUGGCGGCACUUUAUCCAAAUAGAGGAGCUUGUCCCUUAAUCGAUAGUCCUCGUUUUAUCUUUCCUUCAUUUGUAAAGCUUGUAUACCGCCGUUGUCAGAUUACUUUUAGAGAAUGUUUUCAAGUUAAAAGACUUUAUAACUUCAGGUCAAGGUGCAGUUUAUAUGGGGGUGGAGGUGAGCUACAGUUUUCUUUAGAAAAUACGGAUUCUAAGCUUUGAAGCUAGCUGAAGGUGGAUUUACUAGUAAAGUAAUUUAAGUAAA